GUAAGGAAUAUUGGACAAUGGGCGGAAGCCUGAUCCAGCCAUGCCGCGUGAAGGAAGAAUGCGCUCAGCGUUGUAAACUUCUUUUGAAUGGGAACAAUAACCUCCACGCGUUGGGGGCUUGAGGGUACCAUUAGAAUAAGCACCGGCUAACUCCGUGCCAGCAGCCGCGGUAAUACGGAGGGUGCAAGCGUUAUCCGGAAUCACUGGGUUUAAAGGGUGCGUAGGCGGUUUGAUAAGUCAGUUGUGAAAUUCACCGGCUUAACCGGUAGAACUGCGAUUGAUACUGUCGGACUUGAAUCAGGUUGAGGUAGGCGGAAUGUGGCAUGUAGCGGUGAAAUGCAUAGAUAUGCCAUAGAACACCGAUUGCGAAGGCAGCUUGCUGGACCUAGAUUGACGCUGAGGCACGAAAGCGUGGGGAGCAAACAGGAUUAGAAACCCGGGUAGUCC
rnacentral:rRNA from 1 species